UCUCGUUGAUGAUCGGUGCUUGCACCGAGAUUCAACAUGGAACGAGUGGCGGACGGGUGAGUAACACGUGGGUAACCUGCCCUUAAGUGGGGGAUAACAUUUGGAAACAGAUGCUAAUACCGCAUAGAUCCAAGAACCGCAUGGUUCUUGGCUGAAAGAUGGCGUAAGCUAUCGCUUUUGGAUGGACCCGCGGCGUAUUAGCUAGUUGGUGAGGUAAUGGCUCACCAAGGCGAUGAUACGUAGCCGAACUGAGAGGUUGAUCGGCCACAUUGGGACUGAGACACGGCCCAAACUCCUACGGGAGGCAGCAGUAGGGAAUCUUCCACAAUGGACGCAAGUCUGAUGGAGCAACGCCGCGUGAGUGAAGAAGGCUUUCGGGUCGUAAAACUCUGUUGUUGGAGAAGAAUGGUCGGCAGAGUAACUGUUGUCGGCGUGACGGUAUCCAACCAGAAAGCCACGGCUAACUACGUGCCAGCAGCCGCGGUAAUACGUAGGUGGCAAGCGUUAUCCGGAUUUAUUGGGCGUAAAGCGAGCGCAGGCGGUUUUUUAAGUCUGAUGUGAAAGCCCUCGGCUUAACCGAGGAAGCGCAUCGGAAACUGGGAAACUUGAGUGCAGAAGAGGACAGUGGAACUCCAUGUGUAGCGGUGAAAUGCGUAGAUAUAUGGAAGAACACCAGUGGCGAAGGCGGCUGUCUGGUCUGUAACUGACGCUGAGGCUCGAAAGCAUGGGUAGCGAACAGGAUUAGAUACCCUGGUAGUCCAUGCCGUAAACGAUGAAUGCUAGGUGUUGGAGGGUUUCCGCCCUUCAGUGCCGCAGCUAACGCAUUAAGCAUUCCGCCUGGGGAGUACGACCGCAAGGUUGAAACUCAAAGGAAUUGACGGGGGCCCGCACAAGCGGUGGAGCAUGUGGUUUAAUUCGAAGCAACGCGAAGAACCUUACCAGGUCUUGACAUCUUUUGAUCACCUGAGAGAUCAGGUUUCCCCUU
rnacentral:rRNA from 2 species